GAGAAGAGAGGUUUGUGCAAGAGGAAAAAUGUUACUUUUGACUUUCCCUGUGUGGUUCAGCUGACUCUCAGGGAGGAAAUUGUGAGGCCAAAUGCAAUUAGUUUUUCUGCGCGACUACAGCAACCACUGAAUUCAGUAGGUUAAAAACCAACAGUUUAGCUGCUCAUCCAUGUCAACCAGCACGAAGGUGGAGAUUGCACAUGCCUAUGAGAAGAAUAGCGUGGCCUGCUUCAGCAUCUGAUCGAUGAGAAGCACUUCCAGCGGACCUUUGAGAUGAGAACUAGUAUUGUAAAAGUGCUCAUGGUGGCUAUUUUUGAAAGAUUUUGUUAUGCAAGCAAAUCAUAUGAGUUGUAUUAUGCAAGCUACCCUCUUAGUUUUGUAGCUACUUGUGUGUAGCUUGCUUAUUGCCUU